ensembl:snRNA U6 U6 spliceosomal RNA
UCGCUCGCUUUGGCAACACAUAUACUAAAACUGGAAUGAUACGGAGAAGAUUAGCAUGGCCCCUAUGCAAAGAUGACACACAUGUUUGUGAGACAUUCCUGUUUUUU